AGAAUAUUACAAAGACAGAAAUUUUAAAAGGACUGACUGUACAAAUCAGUUAAAAUUCACAAUUUAAUUAAUUAUUUAGCAGAUGGAGUUAAAAAUGGCAGUAAAACGGAACGAUUUGUCAACUUACAUAAACAAAUUUGAAAAAUAUUCAAAGUCAGUGGGAUUCUUUCCAACAAACUUGAAACGAGGGCGGUGUCCAUUUUCCAAGUGGUGAAUUACAUGCUGAAGGACCCAGUGGACAGCUGAAGGACCCAAGAACCCCUGGGUACUCAUGGUUAAGUGCGUAUCUUAAGAUUGAAAAUGGGUAACCGAUCCUCAGGCAAUAUCUGACCCCCAAGCUUCAAUCACCAAUUCAGUACCAGGUCAUUCUUUGUUUCCAAGCUUGGCUUCCUAGACGAGAUAGGAAACUUUUACAAAUCGAGACAUCGACCCGUGGCACAACACUCAUAGUGAAUUUAUUACCAUCGAAGACCGAAGAUAGCUGAAUUUGGUUCACACAAUCACAAAUAUGGCUGCAUU